rnacentral:rRNA from 1 species
CCCCAGGCGGAGUGCUUAAUGCGUUAGCUGCAGCACUAAGGGGCGGAAACCCCCUAACACUUAGCACUCAUCGUUUACGGCGUGGACUACCAGGGUAUCUAAUCCUGUUUGAUCCCCACGCUUUCGCACAUCAGCGUCAGUUACAGACCAGAAAGUCGCCUUCGCCACUGGUGUUCCUCCAUAUCUCUGCGCAUUUCACCGCUACACAUGGAAUUCCACUUUCCUCUUCUGCACUCAAGUUUUCCAGUUUCCAAUGACCCUCCACGGUUGAGCCGUGGGCUUUCACAUCAGACUUAAAAAACCGCCUACGCGCGCUUUACGCCCAAUAAUUCCGGAUAACGCUUGCCACCUACGUAUUACCGCGGCUGCUGGCACGUAGUUAGCCGUGGCUUUCUGAUCAGGUACCGUCAAGAUGUGCACAGUUACUUACACAUUUGUUCUUCCCUGAUAACAGAGUUUUACGAUCCGAAGACCUUCAUCACUCACGCGGCGUUGCUCCGUCAGGCUUUCGCCCAUUGCGGAAGAUUCCCUACUGCUGCCUCCCGUAGGAGUCUGGACCGUGUCUCA